CAUCGCCUCUUGAUUAGAUAUAAGAGGUCCAGCCUGCCCGGUGACAUAGUUUAACGGCCGCGGUACCCUAACCGUGCAAAGGUAGCAUAAUCACUUGUUCCCUAAAUAGGGACUCGUAUCAACGGCAUCACGAGAACUGUACUGUCUCCUUUCUCCAAUCAGUGAAACUGAUCUCCCCGUGAAGAAGCGAGGAUAGACCUAUAAGACGAGAAGACCCCAUGGAGCUUUAAACCCAUCACGCACCCCCCCACGCACUCGUAAUCAAUAAAGCCUAAAGGGCUUGUGUGUUGGUUUUAGGCUGGGGUGACCACGGAGUAAAAUUAAACCUCCACGACAGACGGAUUAAUACCCUUAUCCACGAACCACAAUUCUAAGAGCCAAUAAAUUGUUGUCUAAUGAUCCAAUUACUUGAUCAACGAACCAAGUUACCCUGGGGAUAACAGCGCAAUCUACUUCAAGAGCCCCUAUCGACAAGUAGGUUUACGACCUCGAUGUUGGAUCAGGGUAUCCUAGUGGCGCAACCGCUACUAAAGG
rnacentral:rRNA from 1 species